rnacentral:lncRNA from 1 species
CAGUGAUAUGGAAUAAGUGUUCAAAGAAUGGUUGUUUUUAUUUUCAUUUUCUGUUUUGGUCCGAAGAAAACAUUUAGAAUAACUGGAGAAUUGAAUAUGUUCUUCAAGCAUUUCUACACAUUUACUAGUUCUCAUAAUGAGGCUAUUAUUGAGAAGUUAUACAACAAAUGGUUGAAGUUGUCAUUUCUGCCAAGAACCUGCAGUGCAGAUAUGGAAGAAACAGAGGUCAUACCUAAAGACUCCUACAUGGCUUUGAUGACAUAA